GGGCCAAAGCUAACACCACAGCUGUGUCUUGCAAGAAAGACUUGACUACAAACCCAGCAAAGAACUCCAUUGGACCUGACAGCUCAAAGCUGAGCAAACCCCAUCAGGUGAUGAAGUCCAUGAGAUAUGGUUCAAAGCAUAAAAAAGCUAG